GUCAUUUCCAUAGAAUGCUAUAUAUACCUUAAUUUAAUCUAGAAACCUUAAUUUCCCCCUUUUCUUUCUUCUUCACUCAUCCGCCUCACUCCCUCUCACCCACAUACAACCCCUUUCUUUCCCCUUUCUUUCCCCUUUCUCUAUUUUCCUUUGCCUUCUUCUCCACUAUUUCUUCUCUAUCAUUCAUAAACUCUUAAAUUUAUAUGCUUUCAAAGAUAAACAUGAAUUUAUAAAGUUUAUGAAGUUUAUUAAAGAAAUUAAGAUCUUUUCUAGAGAAAAAUAAGAAUCAACAAAGUCUAUUUAGUUUGUUAUAGAUGUACUGAAGAAAUAAAAUAUGAAAAAAUCAAAUUAUGUAAUGUGAAUAGACCAAUUUUAUGUAUAUAUAUAUGUAUGUUGAUAUUACUUCUGAUUUUGAUUUCUCA